rnacentral:rRNA from 1 species
CUUCCGUAGGUGAACCUGCGGAAGGAUCAUUACCGAGUUUUCGAGCUCCGGCUCGACUCUCCCACCCUUUGUGAACGUACCUCUGUUGCUUUGGCGGCUCCGGCCGCCAAAGGACCUUCAAACUCCAGUCAGUAAACGCAGACGUCUGAUAAACAAGUUAAUAAACUAAAACUUUCAACAACGGAUCUCUUGGUUCUGGCAUCGAUGAAGAACGCAGCGAAAUGCGAUAAGUAAUGUGAAUUGCAGAAUUCAGUGAAUCAUCGAAUCUUUGAACGCACAUUGCGCCCCUUGGUAUUCCGGGGGGCAUGCCUGUUCGAGCGUCAUUACAACCCUCAAGCUCUGCUUGGAAUUGGGCACCGUCCUCACUGCGGACGCGCCUCAAAGACCUCGGCGGUGGCUGUUCAGCCCUCAAGCGUAGUAGAAUACACCUCGCUUUGGAGCGGUGGCGUCGCCCGCCGGACGAACCUUCUGAACUUUCUCAAGGUGACCUCGGAUCAG